CGUCCUAUUAGCUAGUUGGUGAGGUAAUGGCUCACCAAGGCUACGAUGGGUAGGGGUUCUUAGUGGAAGGUCCCCCACACUGGCACUGAGAUACGGGCCAGACUCCUACGGGAGGCAGCAGUAGGGAAUAUUGGUCAAUGGGCGCAAGCCUGAACCAGCCAUGCCGCGUGCAGGAUGAAGGCUCUCUGAGUUGUAAACUGCUUUUGUACAGGAGCAAAAAAAUCCCUGCGGGGGUUCUUGAGAGUACUGUAAGAAUAAGCACCGGCUAAUUCCGUGCCAGCAGCCGCGGUAAUACGGGAGGUGCAAGCGUUAUCCGGUUUUAUUGGGUUUAAAGGGUGCGUAGGCGGCUUAUUAAGUCAGUUGUGAAAUCCUAGUGCUUAACGCUAGAACUGCGAUUGAUACUAUU
rnacentral:rRNA from 5 species